GUGAAGGAGAAGCAUCACGCUUAACCUUGGAGACAUAUCUAAAAGCCGACACCGGCCCUGUGAAUGAGGACAUAUAUGAAACCCUAUCAGCAGUGGAAAAACAACUGAGCCACAGGCUGACUCGGAUAGUGACACGUGGAAAGAGAGGAUCGGAACAGAAACCAAUAUUCGUGGAUGUGACUGCCUUCGGAAAUAUGCUAAAGAGAGCAAGGCAAGCCACCCAGAACUCCUUAGGUCAACCAAACUAAGAAAGCAUGUUGCUACCUUAUGCCAGCUCCUGGACCUUGAUAAUCAAGAGCUGGAACAAGUAGCUCGUUUUAUGGGACAUGACAUAAGAGUCCAUUGCGAUUAUUACCGCCAAACUGACAAAACAUUUCAGGUAGCCAAGAUUGGGAAACUACUGUUUGCAAUGGAGCAUGGAGCAAAGGCGCUUAAAGGGAAGAAUCUGAAGACACUGGACUCAGUUGUCUUUGGACAUGAAGCCACCUCAACCAAAGGCUUGAGAGGAGUCAAAGAGAGAGGGACAUCAAAUGUAGACAGACGACUGGAAGCUAAUGAUGAUGGAGAACAGCCACACCUGUCAACCACAAGCCCACCUGUCAAGAGGCCAACAAAGACUGCAACUAAAAGACAUGAUGAUGAUGGGAGUUAUGAUGAUGGGGAUGGAGAGGUGCGACAACAGACCGCCAGAAGACCACCUAUUAAGAGACAAAAGAAGACUGCAGCUAAAGGACAGGAUGAUGGGAGUGAUGAUGAUGGAGAUGGAGAACAGCCACACCUGUCAACCACAAGCUCACCUGUCAAGAGGCCAAAGAAGACUGCAACUAAAAGAAGGCAUGAUGAGAGUGAUGAUGAGAGUGAUGAUGAUGGGUGUGGAGAGAAGCGACCCUCGACCGCAACAAGACCACCUGUUGAGAGGAGAAAGAAGACUAAACGAAACUAUGAUGAAUAUUAUGAUUGGGCUUUCUCAGAUGGAGAGGAGCUACUAAUCACAACACCCCCUGUUAAGGGGCGAAAGAAGACUGCAACUAACAGAGGACGUAAUGAUGAUGAUGCUCCAAAAACACAAUUAAAGAGACCCUGGACUGACCAGGAGAGGACUGCAGUCGGGCGAAGCAUGGCAAAGUUCAUCUCGCUAAGGAGGGUGCCAGCAAAGACAGACUGCAUGCUUUGUAUUGCGAAAGAGUCUCCAGUCCUUAGCGAUCGAACAUGGAAAGAUGUUAAAUAUUAUGUCCACAAUGCAAUACUUAAAAUCAAGAGAAAGCUUGCAUUUUAAAGGAGACCUGUUAUGUUCAGUGUCAGCCAAGUUCUGUUGCUGAGCCUACAAGCAAGGCAGCACAGCCAUUAGGAGGAGGUAGGGUGAAUGGGAAAGAGGGAUGGAGGGAUAAAAGAGGCAGGGAAUUGGGAUGAGAGGAAGAAGGUGGAGAGAGAGACAGGGGGAGACGGGUAGAAAAAGAGACAGGUAGAGGGAGGGAGGCAGAUAGAAAAAGAGAGGUAGAGGGAAGUAGAAAAAGAGAGACAGGUAGAAAGAGAGAGACAGGUCGAAAAAGGAGAGAGGGAGAGAAAGGUAGAAAAGGAGAGGGAGAGAGACAGGUAGAAGAGAGGGAGAGAGACAGGUAGAAGAAGAGAUUGAGAGAGACAGGUAGAAAAAGAGGGAGAGAGACCGGUAGAAAAAGAGCUUGACAGGUAGAAUAAGAGGUAGAGAGAGAGUUUGAUACUUUUUCGUUCGAGAAACUCCUGAAUAAUCGCUGUCGGUUCUGUGUUGUGUUCAAUAGUGUCUAUAUUUUUCUUGUAUCUGUAUUUAGGAUUGGUACU
ensembl:lncRNA